GAAGGAAGUCAGAGUAGUGA
rnacentral:siRNA from 1 species